rnacentral:rRNA from 1 species
GAUGAACGCUAGCGGCAGGCCUAAUACAUGCAAGUCGAACGGGAUUAAGGAGCUUGCUUCUUAUGAGAGUGGCGCACGGGUGCGUAAGACGUAUGCAACCUACCUUCAACUGGGGGAUAGCCUUCAGAAAGGGAGAUGAAUACCGCAUAACAUAAUUGCGUGGCAUCACUUGAUUAUCAAACGUCAGGGUUGAAGAUGGGCAUGCGUGGGAUUAGUUAGUUGGUGAGGGAACGGCUAACCAAGGCUACGAUCGGUAGGGGAUCUGAGAGGAUGGACCCCCACACUGGUACUGAGACACGGACCAGACUCCUACGGGAGGCAGCAGUAAGGAAUAUUGGUCAAUGGACGGAAGUCUGAACCAGCCAUGCCGCGUGCAGGAAGACGGUCCUCUGGAUUGUAAACUGCUUUUGUUAGGGAAGAAACUUCCGUACGUGUACGGGACUGACGGUACCUAAAGAAUAAGGAUCGGCUAACUCCGUGCCAGCAGCCGCCGUAA